CUUCAAUGCUGUAGGCGAUGGCA
rnacentral:misc_RNA from 1 species